CACACUGUUGAAAUACGUCACCAAGUUCACCGCCAGUGCAAGAGUCGCUAUGUUUUCACAGGCUAUCCCGACUGCAAAAGAAUCAGAAUUUACGAAAUCGUAAGACAAACCCAUCCUUACUCAAUCCUUCAUUCAAAUAUGAACUCAUAACACUUGCCUAGUAUGCAGAAAGCGGUCUUGAUUCCGCCAUGCUUGUGUUUCUGAGCUGGUCGUCCCUUCCAAUCAACCUUCCCUUCAAUAACGCCAUGUUUCUCCUGCAAAAAAUGGCUCAUUUCACAUUGUUUUCAAGUUACCAUGUAAAAGCAAUUAUGAAGAAACUGAAUAUGUACCAUGGCUGGAUAUAUCUGCAGGUUUUUGCUUUUGCUGCUAAAGCAGGGAUGAUGAUUAAUGGCGAUGGAUUUCGGGGUUUCAUUUAUAAUGUGGUACGUAGAUAUUUCUCAGCUCUGGCAGUUUAUGCAAUGUAGCCAUUGAUGACUCCAUUUACCUUGGGUUGUCCGAUCUUAAAAGGCUUCUAGCUAUCAUUAUUGAAGUUGCCGAGCGCCGGAUUAUACAGUUGCAGAUACUGACAUCGACGUUGACAUGAUCAAGGUUAGUCAAUUGCAAGGUUCUACUGAAGUUUGGACGAGUGACCCGUUGGUCACUGAACUUUGUAAAUUUAACUUUCGAGUAGUUGAAACUUAUUAAAUUUCGACUUCAGUUCAUAUGAUCUCUCGGUCUUCCUCGUUAUCGUCGAAACGUAACUAUUCUAGAAAGCUACAAAAUCACGUCGUUUUGGAUUGUUAAAGGUUCUAUUGGAUUUUAGCUCUUGGUGUUGAGGUUUCUGGUCGGUCACAUCUGAAGGAGACAGCAUUGGGCAUCUUUUCUUUUAUUUUCGUCGAUUUAAAAUAGUUUAAUGUAUUGAACUGAAUUGAACAUAAGUUCAAAAUACACAUGGUCAUAUUUGAAUAUUGAUGAACCAACCCUUGCUCUCGAGCUUACUCGAGCUCGGUCCAGUUACGAAC
rnacentral:lncRNA from 1 species